UACAGGGGGGGCAAGCGUUGUUCGGAAUUACUGGGCGUAAAGGGCUCGUAGGCGGCCAACUAAGUCACACGUGAAAUCCCCAGGCUUAACCUGGGAACUGCGUGUGAUACUGGAUGGCUUGAAUUCGGGAGAGGGAUGCAGAAUUCCAGGUGUAGCGGUGAAAUGCGUAGAUAUCUGGAGGAACACCAAUGGCGAAGGCAGCUCGCUGGGACGGUACUGACGCUGAGACGCGAAAGCGUGGGGAGCAAACAGG
rnacentral:rRNA from 1 species